CCCCUCCAUGGGCAUCAUAAUAUUAAAUAGAUAUAAAAUUAUACAAUUAAUGGCUCUAAAUUAGCUCUAAGAAAGGCUAAGAAGUUAGAUUUCAUUGUUUAACCCACUCCCACUCAUCGAAGAGACGAGAAGAAAAAUUAAAAUUAAAAGAAAAAAAAAAGGAAUAUAAACUUCAUUCUCAGAGCAAUUACAUGCAACAUAGAACUGGAUAAUUCUUCAGUGUCAGUGAAGCAUUUCUGUUGACAUAUACUUCAACAGGAGUUAACGUGGAUAAAUAACCUCAGAGCAAUUCACAAACUAGCUAUGAGCUUCCAUACAACAAUGCUGAACUUCACACUACAUCUUCAAUACAGGCAACUGAUCUAAUGGAAUUGGAUUUCACAGAAUUUGAUCUCACAGCACCCUCCUUGUCUGUAGAAUAUGUUAUCAAUGCCUUCACUACUUGGCGAAAUCGCCUUCUAUAGGUAGGAAAUUUCGAUACGCUUCUCACCAUUCCAAUCAUCCUUCUACUGAUGCCCUGGAGUUGAGCAGCUCUUAAAGCCUCUUGAGGUACUAAGCUGCCAUUAUCCCAAGCCUCGAUACGUUCUGUAUCCUUUCCAAAGAGAACUACUUUCUGCAAGAACCUUUCUUCGCCUUCUCCCAAUUUGAUGACCCUAAUUUGUUCUUUUAGAACCAGCAAAGGGUGAAAGAACCAGUCAAACAAUUUGUCAUUUGGUCUGUUCAGAUGAGUGAUUUCAACACCAUCAACCAUCAAAAAACCAUCUGAACCAGCUUUAAUGGAGCAGAUAAGAGUCUGCAACAACGAAUAACAUGGCAAGCCAACACCAAUAAUGGCUCCUUCAUUGACAUUCUUGGCCUUCAGACAGUCAUUGAGAUCAGCUAGUGUUAUUGCAUUGGCAUCCAAAAGUUCCUUGCCCUUUGUUUCACAUGCCCUCAUCAUGGUUCCCCAGAUCUGUUGCAUUUUGAGAAAUAUUACCCACUAUUUCUAGCCCAUCCAAAAGAAACAGAAUUAGAUAAAACUUGAUAAAUAUGGCUCUAUAAUUUUGAUUACGAAGCAACUACUAUACCAUGUCACGGUCACCAUCAUCCACUGGUCAUACAUUCUUCUUUGUUUUUUUGAAGUUAAUCACCUAACAAAAGUAGUUGAACGGCUAUGUUCAAAACAAAAUUUUGGGAAAGACCUGAUUUCCAACACAUAUGGUGGAUAUGCAUAAUGUUUCUGGCUUUCAGCAGGUCAGAUUUAUUUAUUUCUUCCAAGUUCUAUAACAACAAGGAAGAGAUUGUAUUAGCAGCAUAUAGGUUCAUUUAUUACUUACAAGACAGGUGAGGCCUUUCAAUCAUACAAUUGAACAUUUGUUAAUUAAAAUUCAUGGGAUUCAUCUUACACAAUAGAGAACUUAAGCUAGUAAUUUGAGUUGCAUCAUUGACAUUUGACACUUCAUAUCCUCCAAAAACCACUAGCAGACGGCAGAAAAAUGUUAAAAAUUUACCAGUCUGGCAAUGGUUGCAUAUCAAAGUACAUACAAGCAUAAAUCAUUGCUUGGAUGUAGCAGAAUCUAAACCGAGUUCUAAUUGAAUCAGCGGGGGAGCUCAUGCAAGAAGACAAGAACACUAAACAGGAUCUUUCUACUUCAUAUUAGUAAUAACAUUAAAAUACCUGAACCAUUUUCACUUCUUGUAUUGUCUCCCUGACUGAUCUUGAAGGAGCCAAGCUAGGAACAAACCUUGCAGAACCUUCUGCAGUAGUAGAACCAGAUUUUCCAUUAUUUCCACCAACAGAAAGCUCAGAAGAGUUAGAUGCCUUUUUCUUUCGAUAACGGGGCUUUGGAAGGAAGCUCCCGUCCCUAAGAUAGAGCCCAUCAUUUGUACACUCGUCAAAUUCUGCGACCAUUGAAAUCACAUAAGCGAUACCUCUCCGGAAAGAUCUUUCCUGAUACGCGACAACUGAUGCAUACAAGCCAAUGAAGAUGCUUGAGAAAAUGGUUACUAGUAUGCUCCCAACAACAAUAAGUGGCCACAGAAGGAUUGUCAAGCCAGCAAUUGGAAUGCAUGCUGUUUCAAGAAAUGGACCCUCUCGGCUAAUUAGAUCAUGUAUCAGUCUGAACCAACCCUUGAAAAGCAUGUAUGGACUCUUAAUUAUAGCAAUUGCAGUGAAAAGAGGAAUAUCCACUAUUAGCCCCACCAGCCCAGCAAUGAUAACUCCAGGCACAUGAAUUAACCGAAGAGGAAGUUGUUCAUUUGAAGCAGGGGAAUCACGCAGCUCCUUCAAGUAGAGUGGAUAAGAAUGAUAGCACAUAUCUGCAAAAUCUGUAACUACAGUACAGCUUUCUUCAAUGGUUCCCCAGGUUCCAUCCACAAAACAGUGGAAAAUUUUCUUGGAUUCAGCGUUAUAUCUAAAGGCCUCAAAAGUGGAAACCCAAGGAGCAAAGAAACCAUACAAAACUCCCACAAGAACACUGGCAGCUAUGCUUAAACCCAACCAUAUAGCAAAUAAAACAGGCAAAACAACCAAAAGAGCAGCUUUCAGCAGUGCAUCAAAUCUAUUAGUCCUGCAAAUAUCAAAAUAUUGUCAUAUCAAACAAUAAUUACUAUUUCAAGAAGAAGAACUGUAUUACUGCCCAUUUCUUGGAAAAAUUGGAAACUGAAGUUUCUAUGGGAGUUACUUUACAAGGGUGUAGACCGUCCAGGCCACAUGUGGAGGAAACAUCAACAGGAUCACCCCAACAUUCCCUCCUAUGAGGAUUGAAGCAGCAAUAGGACCCACUAACACAGCUUUAAGAGCACCCAGAAAAAAUGCAGAGCAGAAGGCAAAAACCACGUAAGGGAUCCUUAACCAACCAUGGAGAUUGUUUGACAUGGCCAUACCAGAAUACCAUAGAAACAGGAAAAGAAACCACUAAAAAAUCACAACUUUCUAUAGCGUUAACAACCGAUCAGCUCCCACAACAAUAAUAGACACCCCGACCCAAAAAGAGAACGCACAGCUCACAACAAAAAAGAUGAACGGGCAGAGAGAGAGAAAGAAAAAGAAAGAUCAAAAGGAUGUGCUGCAAGAAGAAGACAAAAAAACAGAACAAAACCCGAAACCCAAAGAAAGAAAUCAACAAACUGGGUAGGACAGGAAACAAAACUAACCAAAAGAGAGGCUCUAUUUGCAAGUUUCUUUCUUUUACCUACAGAGUUGUGAAGCAAUCAAUGACGUUUGACAUUGGCACGCCAUAUCCAGUCUAUGAAUCCAACGAUCAGCAUGGUGUGGUGUACGGGAUAGAACAGUG
rnacentral:misc_RNA from 1 species